rnacentral:rRNA from 1 species
GAUGAACGCUGGCGGCGUGCUUAACACAUGCAAGUCGAACGGUGAAGGCGGAGCUUGCUCUGCUGGAUCAGUGGCGAACGGGUGAGUAACACGUGAGCAAUCUGCCCCUGACUCUGGGAUAAGCGCUGGAAACGGCGUCUAAUACUGGAUACGAGCUGCGAAGGCAUCUUCAGCAGCUGGAAAGAAUUUCGGUCAGGGAUGAGCUCGCGGCCUAUCAGCUUGUUGGUGAGGUAAUGGCUCACCAAGGCGUCGACGGGUAGCCGGCCUGAGAGGGUGACCGGCCACACUGGGACUGAGACACGGCCCAGACUCCUACGGGAGGCAGCAGUGGGGAAUAUUGCACAAUGGGCGAAAGCCUGAUGCAGCAACGCCGCGUGAGGGACGACGGCCUUCAGGUUGUAAACCUCUUUUAGCAGGGAAGAAGCGAAAGUGACGGUACCUGCAGAAAAAGCGCCGGCUAACUACGUG